rnacentral:rRNA from 1 species
GUAAGUUUUGGCCCUCACGAAAGGCGUAACGAUCUGGGCACUGUCUCGGAGAGAGACUCGGUGAAAUAGAAAUGUCUGUGAAGAUGCGGACUACCUAUACCAGGACAGAAAGACCCUAUGAAGCUUUACUGUAACUUGAGACUGAUUUCGGGCUUUAUUUGCGCAGUAUAGGUGGGAGGCUAGGAAGCAAGUCUUAUGGGAUUUGUGGAGCCAUUCGUGAGAUACCACUCUGAUAAAGCUAGAAAUCUAACCUUACACCGUAAGCCGGUGGAGGAACAAUCUCAGGCGGGCAGUUUG